rnacentral:rRNA from 1 species
UACGUAGGGUGCGAGCGUUAAUCGGAAUACUGGGCGUAAAGCGUGCGCAGGCGGUUAUGUAAGACAGUUGUGAAAUCCCCGGGCUCAACCUGGGAAUUGCAUCUGUGACUGCAUAGCUAGAGUACGGUAGAGGGGAUGGAAUUCCGCGUGUAGCAGUGAAAUGCGUAGAUAUGCGGAGGGACACCGAUGGCGAAGGCAAUCCC